GACGAACGCUGGCGGCGUGCCUAAUACAUGCAAGUAGAACGCUGAAGGAGGAGCUUGCUCUUCUGGAUGAGUUGCGAACGGGUGAGUAACGCGUAGGUAACCUGCCUGGUAGCGGGGGAUAACUAUUGGAAACGAUAGCUAAUACCGCAUAACAGUAGAUGUUGCAUGACAUUUGCUUAAAAGGUGCAAUUGCACCACUACCAGAUGGACCUGCGUUGUAUAGCUAGUUGGUGGGGUAACGGCUCACCAAGGCGACGAUACAUAGCCGACCUGAGAGGGUGAUCGGCCACACUGGGACUGAGACACGGCCCAGACUCCUACGGGAGGCAGCAGUAGGGAAUCGUCGGCAAUGGACGGAAGUCUGACCGAGCAACGCCGCGUGAGUGAAGAAGGUUUUCGGAUCGUAAAGCUCUGUUGUAAGAGAAGAACGAGUGUGAGAGUGGAAAGUUCACACUGUGACGGUAUCUUACCAGAAAGGGACGGCUAACUACGUG
rnacentral:rRNA from 1 species